GACGAACGCUGGCGGCGUGCUUAACACAUGCAAGUCGAACGGAAAGGCCCUGCUUUUGUGGGGUGCUCGAGUGGCGAACGGGUGAGUAACACGUGAGUAACCUGCCCUUGACUUUGGGAUAACUUCAGGAGACUGGGGCUAAUACCGGAUAGGAGCUCCUGCUGCAUGGUGGGGGUUGGAAAGUUUCGGCGGUUGGGGAUGGACUCGCGGCUUAUCAGCUUGUUUGUGGGGUAGUGGCUUACCAAGGCUUUGACGGGUAGCCGGCCUGAGAGGGUGACCGGCCACAUUGGGACUGAGAUACGGCCCAGACUCCUACGGGAGGCAGCAGUGGGGAAUAUUGCACAAUGGGCGGAAGCCUGAUGCAGCAACGCCGCGUGCGGGAUGACGGCCUUCGGGUUGUAAACCGCUUUCGCCUGUGACGAAGCGUGAGUGACGGUAAUGGGUAAAGAAGCACCGGCUAACUACGUG
rnacentral:rRNA from 1 species